UUCUGUCGAUGGAGUGUGCAAAGAAAUAAUUGAACUUUGCCCCAUAAUGGUUUAACCCACUUUGGUCUUUGGUGAUAUUGACCAACUUUGAAAUUAUAAUAGGGAUGAAGUAGCCUAUUCUAAGUGUCCUCUGUUCUUCUUCGAUGAAAAAUGCCAUUUAAUUUUUUUAUUUGAAAAGGAGAAAAAUCAGUAGGAUUUCACACUUUUUUUAUUUGGCGAGGUAAAAACACAAAUACAGGAGACAUCCAAAGUUAUAUAAACUAUCGAGGCAUUGAAUUGAUGAGUCACACAAUGAAGUUAUGGAAAAGAGUGAUUGAAUGCAGACUUAGGGACACUACUAAGAUAUCAGAGAACAAGUUUGGCUUUAUGCUUCAUAGAUUUACAAUAAAGCCUAUCUUUUUGUUAACAAGAUUGAUGAAAAUUUAUAAGGAGAAGAAAAAGAAUCUAUACAUGGUAUUCAUUGACCUAGAA
rnacentral:misc_RNA from 1 species